CCAAAUUAUUAGAGAGAAAUCAUUUUAUUAUGGACUGCAUUUUGCUAUGAGGAACUGUUAAAGCACAUAUCCAUACAAAAAAUCUGAAAGCACGGAUGCUGUUUUUAAAAUAAGCCAGAAAUUAUAGUUCUUUUCUGCAAAUGCAGUCCACAUCAAAUAUGUGUUUUUGCUUAAUUCAACUCUUUUUUACAGGAAUCUCGACUCCGACUUUGGGACGAAAUCAUCAACGAGAUACAAUCCGAAAACCCUUUCCAAACCUGGAGUAGGCAGAAAAAAUGUCGGCUAAAGAUCGGAGUGGUCCUUAUUUUUUGCUUUCUGGCGAUGGCGCCAAUCUCAGUACUUUCGGAGCUGAUAGAAAAAUCUCUGGUGAGAGAGUACGAAAGCAUAUUCCGGCUGCUGGCCCACUUUCAGUUGGAACGAUUACCCCGAUGUUCGCCGUCGUAUUUGUUAAAACUUUCCGGGAAUUCUGCCACUUCGAACGCGCGUUGAAAGAGACUUCCGACUUUGCUGCGUCGUAUACUCCGAAGCUAGCGGCGGAGAAACAGAGAGAUGGUCAGCGCAGCGUUCAGAUCUUCAUGAGGAUUUCCGGACUGUUUUUCUACAGCACAAUGCUCGGCUGGUUUGUCUACCCUAUCUACUCCUAUUGGAGUAUGUACCCGCAUGUCGACUACAGUCAACUUCACUUGUUCUUCGGCGACCAUGAUUUCAGUCUCGAGCGAAGUCGAUAUUUCUGGUAUCUACAGGGUGUUUCGUUCAUCAGCGCCACGUUCAUGACGACAGUGAC
rnacentral:lncRNA from 1 species